rnacentral:rRNA from 1 species
CCUACGGGUGACAGCAGUAGGGAAUAUUGCGCAAUGGGGGAAAGCCUGAAGCAGCAACGCCGCGUGGGGGAUGAAGGUCUUCGGAUUGUAAACCCCUGUUGGUAGAGAAGAAAAGGAAGGGAGCUAACGAAUAAGGACAGGCUAACUCCGGGCCAGCAGCCGCGGUAAUACGCAGGGAGCAAGCGUGACGCGGAAUGACGGGGCGUAAAGAGAGCGUAGGCGGGAUAUCAAGUCCGAUGUGAAAUCCUCUGGCUUAACCAUAGAACUGCCUUUGAAACUGUUAUUCUAGAGUGUGUGAGAGGUUUGUGGAAUUCCUGGUGUAGGGGUCAAAUCCGUAGAUAUCACGCGGAACACUCAUUGCGACGGCGACCUUCUAGCCCAUAACUGACGCUGCUGCGCGAAAGCGUGGGUAGCAAACAGGAUUAGAUACCCCAGUAGUC